ACUAUAGAUUUUUGGUUAAGAAUUUACUUUUAUAACAUAAAUGGAAAAUAAAAGUUUAUUUAGAAUUAUAUUCUUUUUGCAUAACGGGUCAACUAAAAUUAUCUCUUAUUAGAUUUCCCGAAAAUAGAAGAUCUAACUUACUUCUUGUAAUAGAAAAUAAAUUAUUAUGUUGAAUUAUAAUAUGAAGAAGGUAAUUUAGGGGUGAAACGAAACGCCUACAAUUCUAUUGAUAUCUGGAUAUAAGAUAAAAGUAUUUAGUACUUAAAACAAUUAUAGAGUGUUUAGACUUUAUAAUAAUAGAAUAUUUAUUAAUUUACUUAAGAUAAGGACUAAUAAUUCCUAUCUUAUUUAUUUGUUAUAAUUAAUUUUAUAUUUGGAUCUAUUUCUUUUCUUUUUAUUAAUAAUAAUAUCCUUAUUAGUAAAUAAUGUUGGCAUUAGUAAUAAAUUUAUUAUAUAUUUAAAUGCAAAAAAGGAACUCGGCAAAUAUUUACCUUAACUGUUUACCAAAAACAUAGCCUUAAGAUUUUAUUUAAGGUGACGCCUGCCCAGUGCUAAAUGUUAACGGCCGCAGUACCCUGACUGUGCUAAGGUAGCAAAAUCAUUUGGCUUUUAAUUGGAGUCGGGAAUGAAUGGAUUAAUAGGGUGAAGCUGUCUCUUUUGUAUUUUAUUGAAUUUUCUUAUUAGGUGAAAAUGCCUAUAAGUAGAAAAAAGACGAGAAGACCCCCGGAACUUUUACUAACUGUUAAAUUAUAUUAACUACUGUUUUUGUUGGGGCAACAUGGGAAUAAUAAACUUUAAAACUUCCUUUAUCUAUAUGCCGACUUAGUAUGAAAAAUUAAGUUACCCUGGGGAUAACAGCGUAAUUCUUUUAGAGCUUGCGACCUCGAUGUUGGACUAGGAAUUUGGUUGGCUAGCCGCCAAUUUAUAUGGUUCUGUUCGAACUUAUUUUCCUACAUGAUCUGAGUUCAGACCGGCGUAAGCCAGGUCAGAUUCUAUCUUUUAUUGUUCUAUUUUUAGUACGAAAGGAUUAAAAUAGAUUACUUUGU
rnacentral:rRNA from 1 species